rnacentral:rRNA from 1 species
GAUGAACGCUGGCGGCGUGCCUAAUACAUGCAAGUCGAGCGAACAGACGAGGAGCUUGCUCCUCUGACGUUAGCGGCGGACGGGUGAGUAACACGUGGAUAACCUACCUAUAAGACUGGGAUAACUUCGGGAAACCGGAGCUAAUACCGGAUAAUAUAUUGAACCUCAUGGUUCAAUAGUGAAAGACGGUUUUGCUGUCACUUAUAGAUUGAUCCGCGCCGCAUUAGCUAGUUGGUAAGGUAACGGCUUACCAAGGCGACGAUGCGUAGCCGACCUGAGAGGGUGAUCGGCCACACUGGAACUGAGACACGGUACAGACUCCUACGGGAGGCAGCAGUAGGGAAUCUUCCGCAAUGGGCGAAAGGCUGACGGAGCAACGCGGCGUGAGUGAUGAAGGUCUUCGGAUCGUAAAACUCUGUUAUUAGGGAAGAACAAAUGUGUAAGUAACUAUGCACGUCUUGACGGUACCUAAUCAGAAAGCCACGGCUAACUACGUG